rnacentral:rRNA from 1 species
CAGAGGGGCUAGCGUUGUUCGGAAUUACUGGGCGUAAAGGGCGCGUAGGUGGCCUGUUAAGUCGAACGUGAAAUCCCCGGGCUCAACCCGGGAACUGCGUCCGAGACUGGCAGGCUCGAAUCCGGGAGAGGGAUGUGGAAUUCCAGGUGUAGCGGUGAAAUGCGUAGAUAUCUGGAGGAACACCGGUGGCGAAGGCGGCAUCCUGGACCGGCAUUGACGCUGAGGCGCGAAAGCCAGGGGAGCAAACGGGAUUAGAUACCCCGGUAGUCCUGGCCCUAAACGAUGAAUGCUUGGUGUGGCGGGUGUCGAUCCCUGCCGUGCCGAAGCUAACGCAUUAAGCAUUCCGCCUGGGGAGUACGGUCGCAAGGCUG